rnacentral:rRNA from 1 species
AAUGGGCGAAAGCCUGACGCAGCGACGCCGCGUGGGUGACGAAGGCCUUCGGGUUGUAAAGCCCUGUGGGGUAGAACGAACUGGCAUCGGGCUAAUAUCCCGGUGUCUUGACGGUACUGCCUUAGCAAGCAUCGGCUAACUCUGUGCCAGCAGCCGCGGUAAGACAGAGGAUGCGAACGUUGCUCGGAUUUACUGGGCGUAAAGCGCGUGUAGGCGGUCUCGUUAGUCGGGUGUGAAAGCCCCGGGCUCAACCCGGGAAGUGCACCCGAUACUGCGAGACUGGGGUACUGAAGAGGAGAGCGGAAUUCCCGGUGUAGAGGUGAAAUUCGUAGAUAUCGGGAGGAACACCAGUGGCGAAGGCGGCUCUCUGGGCAGAUACCGACGCUGAGACGCGAAAGCGUGGGGAGCAAA